rnacentral:rRNA from 1 species
AUGAGGAUCCUCCAGCUCUUCGGUGACGCCACGGGGCUAAAGAUCAACCAGGAGAAAUCAACGGUCUCCGCAAUCCGAUGUGAUGACCUGAACAUGGCUGACAUUCUUCAGAGUUUUGGCGGCAAACAGGUGGGCUUCCCCCUAAAGUAUCUCGGGCUGCCGAUCACCUUGGGGCGGCUAAGGAUGGUGCAGCUGCAGUUUGUCCUGGACAGAAUCAGAUCAGGCCUCGCUGGAUGGAAGGGCCAGCUCCUCACGGUGGCUGGCCGACGUACUCUGGUCAAGCGUUUCACCGCGCUCUUCCAGCACGCCAGGAGGAAGAUUAGGACGGUGGCCGAGGCCUUGCUCGACGUCCGGUGGAUUGCCGAUCUCCGUCAUGGCAACCAUGAUGCCCUGGUGGAGGAGUUCGUCGGCCUCUGGCGAGCUGUCGGCUCGGCAGGUAUCGCUCUGGAACCAGGGGUCCCGGACGUCAUUCGGUGGACGGCGUCAAGCUCUGGCACUUACUCCACGUCCUCCGCCUACCUGGCUCAAUGCAACAUGUCCAGAAGACCGGACUUCACGCAAUUAUUCUGGAAGGCGUGGGCGCCGGCAAAAACAAAGAUGUUCUUUUGGCUACUCCACCAAGAUCGCCUAUGGUGCAAUGAUAGGCUGCAACAAAGAGGUUGGCCGAACAGCUACUUUUGCGGCUUGUGUGCAAGGCACCUGGAAUCAUCUAUGAACUUGUUCUGGGAAUGCACCGUCUCCAGGGCGGUCUGGCUUGCUGCGGCCGCCUGGACCGGCUACGACGCUCUCCGCCCAGACAACUGGAGACCUGGCAGCAGCACCACCGCCACGGUGAGGGAGAUCAUCGCAAAAAACCCGGGUGAGGCGCGGAGGGGGAUCAGGUCCAUGAUCGUGUUGAUCGCCUGGGAGCUAUGGCAGGAGCGAAACGAGGCAAUUUUCAGAGGCAAGAUACCAUCGGCGCGCCACAUUCUUACUGCAGUGUGGUGUGCCCUGGAUCAAUGGAGAUUGGUUGGCGCCAAGCAACUCAUGAGCCCCUUCGGGGAUAGUCGGGAAAUUGUAACCUAG